GGUAACAUUGUCGAGAGUAACAUUGACGGAUAUCUCGAGAGUUCCGUGGUUCAAUGGGCUUAUACUAUUGUGCCCUAGCUGAGUUACUCUCAUUGUUUAUUUCAUUCACAAUCAGUUUAUAUUCAAUUUAAUAAUAUUAAAAAAAAAAACUUGAAUCCCAAAGUCUGUUCCAUUGUUACUCAAUUAAUGUCGACAUUCACCUGAAAUUUUAUAUGUACAGUAUGUACUUUGUUGACAAAUUAUCCUUGCACUGAAUUACGGAAUUGAUCAUGAAUGUAAAUUGUGUGCCUCUAGUUAUUUUCUGAUAUGUUUUUUUUUUUCAUUUUUUUUUUGGUAAAAGGUUAAGUUUUAUACCAUUUUUGAUUUUGGACAGAAUUACAGAGAUUACAUGAAACAGAUUAAAACAAUCUACAGAAGAUAAAUACAAUAUUACUACUCAAAUUGUUUUGGAUCGCUUCUAAGCGUUCAAGACCAAGUUACGAGAUGAAACACCGAUUCCGAGCUCGCAAAACUUAGAAAUUUGCGUGGUUGCCACAGAGCCGAAGCACUGGAAUCCUCAUCUUAGUUGCCACGAGCUAAACUAUUCGAGGGCCGUCCACAAAACCUCGAUAUAGAAGCCUACAACUUCUCCACAAAACCUCGAUAUAGAAGUCCACAAAACCACGAGCUAAACUAUCUGAUUUCUGAUAUGGUUUUGGUCUGUUUGAUUUCACACAACACAAAUCAAACAUCAGCACAACCAUAGAUUAUAGUAUUAAGUUUGUUU
rnacentral:sRNA from 1 species